rnacentral:rRNA from 1 species
UGAGUAACGCGUGGGCAACCAACCCUGUACAGUGGGAUAACACCGGGAAACCGGUGCUAAUACCGCAUGACACCUAGACAGUGCAUACUGACUAGGUUAAAGGAUUUAGCCGGUACAGGACGGGCCCGCGUCCCAUUAGCUAGUUGGUGAGGUAACGGCUCACCAAGGCGACGAUGGGUAGCCGACCUGAGAGGGUGACCGGCCACACUGGGACUGAGACACGGCCCAGACUCCUACGGGAGGCAGCAGUGGGGAAUAUUGCGCAAUGGAGGAAACUCUGACGCAGCGACGCCGCGUGAGCGAAGAAGGCCUUCGGGUCGUAAAGCUCUGUUCUUGGGGACGAAUAAGGUGACGGUACCCAAGGAGAAAGCCCCGGCUAACUACGUGCCAGCAGCCGCGGUAAUACGUAGGGGGCGAGCGUUGUCCGGAAUUACUGGGCGUAAAGGGCGUGUAGGCGGCCAAGCAAGUCAAGUGUGAA